AUCGUCUCUUGCCACUGCCAUGUAAGAACUGCCUUUUGCCCUCUGCCAUGAUUGUGAGACCUCCCAGCUAUGAUGGACUGUAAGUAAAAUUAAACCUCCUUUUCUUCCCAGUCUUGGGUAUGUAUCAGCAGCGUGAAAACGGACUAAUACACAUCCUUAGUUGGAAGGGAGCCAGAGGGGUCAGAAACAUCCUUUAUGGUGGAGGGGGCACUUUAUGUUGGUUGUCUAAGUGAGUUUGGGCUGCUAGAACAUGAACACCACAGACUGGGUGACUUAACAGAAAUGUAUUCCUCACAGUAUGAAGUCUGGGAAGUCUAAGAUCAAAGUGCUGGCUGAUUUGGUUGUUGGUGAGAGCUCACUUCCUGGUUUGUGGAGGGAUGCCUUCUCACAGUAUCCUCACGUGACUGAGGGAAAGCUAGCUCACUCCCUGGCUGCUCCUUAAAAGACACUCAUCCCAUUCAUGAGGGCUCUACCCUCAUGAUCUAAUUACCCCCCAAAGGUUCCACCUCUAGACACUAUCACAUUGGGGAUUACAGCUUCAAAAUAUAAAUUUUGGUGAGACACAUACAUUUGGUCCAUAGCACUGACGUCGUCUCAUUUUGUAGUCCAAUAGCAGGAAAAAGAGGGUCAAUUAUCCCCACUUUAUAGAUGAGGAAGAUGAGUUCUGAGACAGGGUACGGAGGUAGAGUAGAGGGGGAAAGAAGCUAGAUGAAGGGCGUCAUAUCCCCUAAUUUGUCCUGAGGUAGGGAGGGGGAGAGCUGGUAGCUGUCACAUGAGUGGUCACUAUAUAGACAAAUAGUGGGGCCCACUUCCAGGGCAGGACUCAGAAGCACUAGUGGAGGGUCCAGUCCAGAGAAGGGACUCCACAAAUGAUGCCGCUGUAAUUAUUGUCUGAUCAUCUAUUCAUCACACAUUUUCUGAGUACAUCCUCUGUGGUGAGCACUACUCAUAUGUUCUUUAUCAUCCUCAUGGACAUGACACCCCACUUGGCCUGCGGUGGCUGGAGACCUGGGGAGGAGUCAUAUCACAGCUUUUAGACCCACUCUGACAUCGAGGUUAAAUGCAACUUUAGGGCCAGCAAGUACAAGCCUUAUUCUGCCACUUACUAGCUGCAGGGCCUGGGGUGGCACUUGGCCUCCCAAGGGAAGGUGCUCUUUUCCCCAUUUUACAAUUGAGAGGACAAGAUAUGAGAGGUGAAAAUACAGACCUCCCUGACUAGAAUUCAUUCUCCCAACCACCAUGCACACUAGUGUUUCCCAGAGGUGGUCCUGCAGGCUUCAGAAUCUUGUGAGGUGUUUGGAGAGUGAUUCCUGACCCCUCCUCCGACUCAGUAAAUCUUGACAGUGAGGCCCCAAAAUAUGAAUUCUUCACAAGCUCUGAAGGUGAUUCUUAUGUGUGUUGGGGCUUGAGAAUUGGCUCUCCUGCCUCCUCAUUUCCAGUCUUUAAACAGGGAUCUGCACAGCAGCAGGCAGCAGAAGUAGGCAGCGCUCUGGAAAUACAGUUGGCAAAAGCUCUCUCCCUUAAAACUAACAGGGAGAGAGCUAACUCCAUGACUGGCAUGACAUCUGUGAACAAAGGAAGUGACAGGGCCACCAAGAACUGCUGUGGGCCAGUGAGAGCAACAGAAGACCAGGUCCUAGCCUUCCCUGCUGAGAACUUUACCCAUUGCCUAGUGAGAAGGAACUGGAGAUGCCAUCAGAGCUGCAUCGUAGUAAUGCUGGUAGAUUUCAAUUUUUACAAUUUAUAUUUGUUAUGAAUGUAUUCACCAUUCCUUAGAGUAUGUUUAAUUAUCCUCAGUCUUUGUUCUGCUUUUAAAAUCCACAUUGAAAAGGCAAAGUGACAUGUGCUUAAGAGGUCUUUAAUAAAUACUUUGGUCAAGAACAGGGAGGGGGUAGUUUAAUUCCUCCUGAUUAGACCCGCCUACUUCCCGGCCAUCUGAAAUUUAAAUUUAAGUAAAAGUCAGUAUGCUUUCUAAAUAAAUGCAGUUUCACAACACAACCUUUAGCCCACACUCAAGCAACUAUAUGGCUGCCCCUAAUUCCUCCUCUAUUGACAUUCAGGAGCUGCCAGGGUUUCUGUAAAAGUACCUGAACACAGUGGAUCAACCAACAGUGGCUCUGGGGUUUAGAGUUUUGAGCAGCAGCUCAGAAUGAUAUCCAUCUGCCUUUCUGAAUCACAGCCAACUUCUGGCCUCUCUGCACAGAUUUGGUGCAGGAAACUAGCCAUACCCACGCCCACACCCACAGCUCGCCCCGUGCCUCCUUCAUCUUCAUAAUUCUGCUCCCACCCUCUUCCCUCUUCCUUGCCCUUCAAGUUGCAACACUGAACUGAGUUUAUGGAUGAUGCUCAACAAUUUAUUGUUGAUUAACUGAUUGAUUGAUUCUGUUGCUAUGGAAACCAUCAGAUUCUAGUACAACAGUGGGAUUCCUUCCUGACUUUAUGCUUGACAAAAUGCUGACUCUCUGUGCUUGCUUCUCCCAGCUUGCCACCUCCAUCUGGGUCAGGAGGAGCAAUUGGAAGCAGAAGCUCCAAGAGAAAGGUGGGAAUGUUGGUAAACCCAGGUGAAAAAAAGCAACAAGGAGGGUUGCUAGGAGAAAUGAAUGAAAUGAUACAAGUAAGGUAGAAAGCAGAGUGCUUUCUACAAGCCAAGAAGUGGCCCCCCAACAGAUACCAAGCUCUGGACCUCCUGGUGCCUUGAUUUUGGACUUCCCAGCCUUUUUCAGACCUGUGAGAAAGGUCCGCCGCAUCUUGGAAGGAAACUUCAAAGCUCAUUUAAAGUCAGCCUCUCACAUAGCCCUGCUGGUCUAACUUUCUUCUGAAUGUGAUUUCAGAAGUAAAACCAGGCCAGGGGCUGGGACUCAGGUGAGUCUCACUGACCGUGACCUCUGGAGAGUCAACUGAAAUGGAGAGACAAAUACCAAGGAGAUAUCAGGAAGAAUAUUGUCCCCAGUAAAUACCAAGUCACAUCAGGAAGAAUAUUGUGGAGAGAGAGGUAAAGAAUCAGGAUGGAAACAGAAAAUAGGCCGAACAAUGGCCAAGCGUCAAAAUCCUACGUCAGGACAGUGCUAGGACUGCUUUUUUCUAUAUCAGACACGUGGGCUCCUGCUGUGUCUUCCUGGAAAGCAGAGGCCAAGGAUGGAGCAGACCAAGAGGAUGCCAGGAAAAAUCACAAAGAAGCCCAGAAAGCACAGCUGGAAGCCAAGAACCCUAUUUUUGGUUUGUGUGGGUGGAAGGUGAGGGACAACAUAUAGUGACCAACAGGAUUCUUCAUUUGAAAGAGAAUGGAGUACAUCAGACCUGUGUAUUUAGGUGAAGUAUGAUAAACAUCAUCAUACUUCAAAGAUUAUGAACAUCAAAGAUUAUGGAAAGGAACAUGACUGCUUAGUUUAUUCCAUUACCAGUGAUCUGCUUGUUUGUUCAUUUGCUUACCCAUCCAUUCAUUUAUUCAUUCAUUCCUCCAUCCAUUCUCUUUCACUUAUUCUACAAUCAUGAUUGUAUGCCUACCAUAUCGCUAGAGAGAGGGCAGGAAAAGAUCCAAGGAUGUGAAUACAAUCUUCUGCUUCAUGAUGAGAGCUAAAGGAAUCUGUAAAGACUUUGUCUUUUUCAUUUUUCUCUCUCCUACAUAGACCCUGGAAAAUGUUUUAUUUCUUAUAAUUUGCCUGAGGUUUACUCAUCCACUACCAGAGCUCUGAAAACACUCUUCAGAACACUAUUUUAAAAUAAUGACAAUGACAAUAAUAGAUAACAUAUAUUCAGUGUUUUUUGUAUGUGAAGCAAUGUAAUAACCAUUUAAAAUGAUUGUAACUAUACUUUAUAAGAGUAUGAUGAAACAGGCACUAUUAAAAUGCUAGUUUUUCACACAGCUAAUAUGAGAGAGAGCUGGGAUUUGGAGCCUCCAUUCAUGGCCAUUAUAUGGUCUGUCUAAUGAAUGAAAUGUUUGACCUUAGAGAAAACUUGAAAUGCAUAGUUUUCUUUGCUGACUUGAAUGAUAUAAGUUUAAAAAUCCGAUAGUGGUUGCUAGUUGAAAAUUCCUAUUCCUUGGGAAACUGUUGAAAGUCUGUUUAGUACUAACCCCCCUCAUUAAUGGCCAUUUGCAAAGCCAGGCCAAGUUUAGUCUUCUACCAGCACUGAAGAAACACAUUUUUACCCAGAAGAAAUGAGGGUGAAAUCCUCUGAUAACUGGAAGAUGCUGGAUGUUCUGGAAAGAAAAGUAAUUUUUUUUUCAAUCUCUGGAAAUUGCUUUUUUUGUUUUAAGUAAGGGUGGCUCAGUAGAUGCUAACAGAGAAGCUGGGAUCAGCUAAUCUGGAGAAGAUUCUGAGAGAAUGAGUUGGGGAAGCUCACACUGAGAAAAUGAGAAGAUUGGUAGGAAGGGCGGUUUCUUGCUGUGUCCAAGAACAGGAAUUGAGAAAUGGUAUUAAGCUGAAGGUGAGAGGGGAACAAAGAAGACUUUGAAAGUUGCAUACAGGUUUGAAACAAAGUAUACCACAAGGAAUGGGAACAUGUAGAGCUGUUUUAAAAAUGUUUCUGUGUUUGUGUGAGUGUGUGUACUAGAUAUAUUUUUAAAAUGACUUUUCUCGGAAUUACAUCAUACUUUGAAGAUCAGCAUAGGAAGUGAAGAAGGAACAAAUAUUCACUGAGAGCAUUCACUAAGGGCCAGGAGCUCCCUGAAUACCACAUAUGCCACCGCUCUCUCUUGUGAUCCUGAAGGUCUGUGAGGCAGUUAUCACUAUGUAUGGUAUAUUUUCAAAGAAAGCAAAUAAAACCCAAUGUGACUAAGAAAGAUGCUAAAGUCAUACAGCUAAUUAGCUGUGGGUCCAGGAUUCAAACCAGUGCACCCAGCACAUGGUCUUCAAUAAAUAUUUAUUGAGCAGUGAAUACAUGAAUGAGUAAAUAAGAUGAAGCAAGCAAGCAAGCAGGUAGGCUUGUCUAACCCAAGUGUUCAUGUUCUAUCCUCUGUACUGGUGGUUUUUAAAUUGUGUGCCACAAAGGCCUUGGGUAACAUGAGGAGGGUUAGUAUGAGUGGCUGUCUAGCAGCAUGGGGCCCCAGGCUCCCUAUCUCUACUCCAACCAGGGCAUCUCUGCUUCUGUUUGUGUUAAACAUUGGGCUUUUGCCUGAGGUUUCAUUUGAAGAAGAGGGCCUUCUUCUAGAAAGUGUUUAUUACUCCUGCCCCAUGCCGUGUUCCCUCCUAAGUAUGCAUUAUGAACUAGUUAAGUUUAAUAAAGACAUAUAUUACUGUAAAGUUGGAAUUUAUACCAGUGUCUGAAUUCCAGUAGCAGCCCCCAUAUCUUGGUAAUCGAAAGCCAACUGUUUCUAAUAUCCGGCAUGCUGCUGAGGCCAUUAACAAUAGAUGAGCCAUCUAGGGCAUUAUGGCUAGCAGCCGGGACUACAACUUCAAGCUGUCUAGGUUCAACUGUGGCUCUGCCAUGACCUGGUGAAAUCUCAGGUAAAUGAUUCGACCUCUCCACACUUUAGCUUCCUCAUCCAUGAAAUGUGAUAGCUACCUUAUACAGCAUGGAAACUUUGUGCUCCAGUAAUAUGAAUGGGCUCACUAUAGCCAAGUGCACUUAGUUCCCUUGAUCUCACGUUUUUGUUUAUGCUGGCUCCCAACUUAAUGUGGUCUUCUCACUUUUCAUCUGACUGUGAAAACUCCAACCAAAGGUACUUAUAUUCCUCCCACUCAAUAAAUAUGAUGGCCUUGGUGUCAGUAAGGCGACAUGUGAAGAGAGAUAUCAGUCUGGCUUGCCAUACAUUACAAGAAUUUGCAGGCUUACCCUGACAGUCCUAGUCCAUGGGAGUGGGUGAUGGGGUACUAUUGUGUCACUGUCCGGGGUCCUGAAUAAUUAAAGAGUGCACAGUGGCUUUUACAAGAAUACUAAGAAUUAUUUAUUUGUUAAGGUAACACUAUCUGCUGUAGUAGGUAACCCUCUCUACCCCCAAAUCUGAGUAGCUUACCAUAUUAGAAGUCUUUUCCUGUUCUCAUAGGGUUCCAUUGGUGCUGGGGGUGAGGAGGGGAGGUGGUAAAGGGGUUUGUUCCACACAACCAUUCAGAGAUUCAUAUUGAUGAAGACGGCCAUCUUCAACAUAUAGUUUCCAGAGUUGUUCUGGGCUCAGUAUUUAGACUCCAGGUGGUAUAUCAGAGGAGAGAAGGAGAGUAGAGAACUGUGUGGCAGAUUUUUAUGAACCAGAUCUAGAAGGGACAUUCAUCACUGUCACUGGGAUGCUGUUAAUUAAAACUCGAGCAUACAACCAUUCCUAAGAAUAAAAGAGGCAGUGGGAUGUUGCUUAUUUGUGAGUUCAUUGGAAAAUCACUAGCUUGUUUUUGCCACAAAAUAUUUUUUAUGUUGUUACCCAAUACCCCCCCCCACUGAGACACACACACACACUCAACACAAAUACAACUAGAGCAAAAAAUUCAUUAAAUAAUCCUCUGUGUGUGAUAUAGUCUCAUAGUUUCUAUUCUAUUUUAUUGUUUUAAAGUGCUGUCAUGACCCAUUAAACUGUUAUUAUGGCUGAA